GACAGAGGCCUCGAGCGUUAGGCGGAAUCACUGGGCUUAAAGCGUGUGUAGGCGGGCCCGUAAGUGUCUUGUGAAAUCCCACGGCUCAACCGUGGAACUGCUGGGCAUACUGCGGGUCUUGGGCCAACUAGGGGCAGCCGGAACAAGCGGUGGAGCGGUGAAAUGCGUAGAUAUCGCUUGGAACGCCGAAGGUGAAAACAGGCUGACUGGGGGUUGCGCCCGACGCUGAGACGACGAAAGCCAGGGGAGCAAAACGGGAAUU
rnacentral:rRNA from 1 species